AAACUUUCAACAACGGAUCUCUUGGUUCUGGCAUCGAUGAAGAACGCAGCGAAAUGCGAUAAGUAAUGUGAAUUGCAGAAUUCCGUGAAUCAUCGAAUCUUUGAACGCACAUUGCGCCCGCCUGUAUUCUGGCGGGCAUGCCUGUGCGAGCGUCAUUUCAACCAUCAAGCCCCGGGCUU
rnacentral:rRNA from 1 species